GUAAAAGCUAGAACUGAGUUUAAACAUUUACACUUGCUGAUGGAAAUCUAACUCCAAAGGGAAAUAGUUUUCUGUAACUAGAUCCAGAUGUACUUGUAAAAGUUACAAUGAAAAGGUAAUUAUGUUGUAAAUAGUGGGAAUGCUUUUCUUCAUCAAAGUGAGAGUUUCUUUAUUCCUGGACUCAGUUAGCUGGAAUGAGAAAUACACACUGGGAAGAGCAAUUCUAAACCCCUGUUAGUGAUUCCCUAAAUUACUCUUUCCAGGACAAUCAGUAUUUGCUUCAGACAGAUCCUCUUUCUGAUGAAUGGAAACUCUACACUGAAUACAUAGAACACAUGAUUGUAGAUGGGCUGUUCAAAGCUAUCAAGUGUUUUCUUCAGUAUCUGAAUGAAAACACUGAGGCAACAUUUAAAUCCACUCCUCUAUUUGAAGUGCAGCUUUUUCUUAAUAGCAGUGAAAUAACUUUUAAACCUUCUUUGGACUUAAUGUCAAUGGCAAUUUCUGUGAUAUUAUGGGAGAGACUAAUCAAAACCAGCUAUGAUGCUGCAUCAUCUGUAGACAGAUUGUCAAAUACUUUGGAAAAGACCCUUUUUAGUUAUUCUUACUAUUGACGCUUUUCCUUUUUUUUCUUUUUUUCUUUUUUAAUGUCACAAUUUACCUUUCCUCUAGGCAUUUGAAUGUAGCAGUUUUCCCAGCUGACUCACCUCUAUCUAAUGGCUUAUUCCAGGAAGGCUAAUAUCUCAAGAGAGGCUGUGAGGACUUUUCCCAUCUGUUCCUGGUGAGCUGUCAUAUUCUACUCUCCUUAACCUCUGCUUCUCUUGUUUUAUGGAUGUAUCCAGUCAUUUCCACAUCUUUUUAAAAUUAUAUUGGUGAACUUAUUUUUAACUUCUGCUGGUUCACUUGCCCAAUUGAGAGUGCCUUUCUAAUACUGAAAUCUGCAGCUGGAUGGACUCUCUUCAAAGCUGGUUCAUGGAUUGGCCUUUUACUUUCACUUGUGCAUUGUGCACAGGCAGUCACUGGCUUUUCAGUGCCUGUUGUACUGAGCAUUUGGUGCCAAAUGACUUCCACAUAUUUCAGGCCGGGCUUUUCUCAAGAAAUGCUGGUUGCUUUGUGACUAUAGGUUGAAUGUUUGCUUUCUUAGUUACUACUUCUCAUCAGGACACCUGAUACUGUUUCUGCUCCCAGAUCUGCAAGUAUAGCUGAGGAUGUUCCUUUAGCAUGAUAUAUACCAGAUGGAUAACCUGAAAGAAAAAAGUCAAGUAACUAUGAGGAAGAGGGACUUGGUCACUGUCUAUGUUCUGGAACAACACUUACACAAAAAGUGGCACUCAAUGGAUUGAUGAUAAAAUUGGAUGUGUGAAGCAGUUUCUGAUCAGUGGAUAAUUUCUUAGUAAAGUGAAGCUGGAGUUUUCUUAAAGUUCUGAGAGUCCAAAAUGUUCAUGAGACUUACUGUAUUCUACAGAACAGGGAUGGUGACUCUACUACUUCCCUGGGGAGUCUGUUUCAAUGCUUAGCCACUCCUUCAGUGAUCCAAUGUCUAUGCAGGACAGAGAAUCCAUGGAUUGCAUUUUCAAAGUCUUAAAACUGACCUCUUGAGAACUUGUGGAUAGCAGCUGGGAGAACUGGGGCUGAGAAUCCCAUGGAAAACUACAGUCAAUCAUGAAAUGCAGUCAAAAAUGUAACGUUUGCUCCUCUCCAACCCUUGGGGCUAAGAGCAGAGCUGAGGGAUACAGAGGGAUCACAUGGCUCAAACAGCCGAAGACUCUUGGUCGGGGGUUCAGCACAGCAUGUGAGAUAUAGUGGACUUAAUCCUCUGUCUGAUUUACAGCACAACCUUGGUCUUGCUGCUCACUCACAUUCCAGAUGAAUGCAUGGAACAUGGUGAAAUCCACUGUUGCAUUUUGAUAUAAACAAGUUUUAUAUAAAACCUGUUGAAAGGUUGGUUCUGUCUACUGCCCUGCUGGGACAAAAAUAAUUUUUGAGACAUGAACAUUUCUGGUUAAAUGAAUGUUCUUUUUCCAGAUGAUCUGAGCUAAAAAACUCAUGGGUAGCAUGUGAUUUUGAUUUGGCAAACAAGUACUGAAAAUUUCUCAAUUCACCUCUGCCCAAAAUUAAAAGGUUUUUCUGUGCAUAACCCGUAAAUUCCUUUAAUUCCUUAAAUUCCUUUACUGUAAGAAUCUACAGAGUAAUCUUAACCUUGCAGGAUUAGGGCAUCCCCUUUUUCUGUGCAGAUAGGUCAGGUAACUAGCAACUUAAUCACUUUGCAGGUAUGCCAACUAUCAGUGUCCUGAGUGCACUAACAAUGGCCAGCCUGCUCCUCUGCACUCGCAGGGGACUCCACAGGAGCUCCUCCCUGUGGCCUCACUUUCUCUGAGGUACAGAGUGUUCCUGCCUUGCGGCCUCUCCUCAGCCCUGCCCCUUUGGGUGCUCGGAGCUGGCUCUGGAGCCGUGCUCCAGGUGUGGGGCUGUGUCAUGGGAUGGACCCCAUGGCUGUGUCCUCUUG